CGUCAUGCCCUUUAGCUCCUGAGCGGCCCCUCAAGACGAAUGGGACAGAAGAACCUUCAUGCACACAUUCCUUACAGUUACACUGACAGCCUGGCUGAUUCCAAAGUCGUUAUGACCCAUCAAAACCAAACAUCGCAAAGAAUGCAUAACGGCUCAGCAUGGUCUAUUUUUCACCUGAUAUCAAGUCUGCUGGAGAUUUCCAGAGAACAGCGAUGGUGAUGUAUACAACCUCUCAUAAAUCCCUGAGAUCCUCUCUUUUAUUUCCGUGACGACUUAACAAUAUCCAUAGUUAGAGAUGAGUGUGUUGCUGUUGUCAGUGUUGACAGAAGCCAAAAGCUGCUGCUGCGGAAGCUGAUGCAGGUUUUAACUUUACCCGAAAUGAUAAUGACCAGUAAACUCCCAGUGCCAAGCCUGGAACAGACGUCUCUUGUGUCUGGUCCAUUGACUUUCCUUCUGUUACUUUCCACCAGUAAUUCGAUUGGGGCGAGAAUGACUCCAUCCCUAUAAACUCCUAUCAGAAUAAAAAAUGUCCAAACAUUCAGCAAGGACUUUCUUUCAAAAGCUGCAUGGACUAAGUACAAGAUGACAAUGUCCUGCACGUAUAGACGCUGUCUGGACCCGUGUGGGCAGAAAGUGGCCUGCUUUCUGCACUUGGGGACAAAUAUCGAAGGAAUUCUGUACCAAUGAACACUUGUUUACAAAGAAGACUUUAACAAAGGAAUGUACUGAAAUUGGAGAAAUGUCACCAUCUUCGUUAUUACAAUGAAAAAUGAAUUUUGCAAUAGGCUUCUUAGGAAUGUACCUGCAUGGGGAUUGAUGGGUGCAAACCAGUGAUGCGUCCUUGCACAGUCCCACAUGUGUGGACGCUUACUGCUUCAAGGUUCAAGGCUUAUUUCAGAAGAGCAGUAACAAAGGGCAGUGAGGCUGGAUGGGCCGCUCUGAUUGGCAAGGAUCACAAACUCCAUAGGAGGUUCCUGCUAACCGGGCACUAGGGAAAGGUGGUAAGGGCAUUGGUCGCCCUUGACCUCGUCUUUACUGAUCUCUGUUUCUCUCCCAACCAGAUUUCAAAAUAUAUCAUUCCACUGUAUUUUAUUUU
rnacentral:lncRNA from 1 species